rnacentral:rRNA from 1 species
AGUGAACGCUGGCUGUAGGCCUAACACAUGCAAGUCGAACGGCAGCACAGUAAGAGCUUGCUCUUACGGGUGGCGAGUGGCGGACGGGUGAGGAAUACAUCGGAAUCUACUUUUUCGUGGGGGAUAACGUAGGGAAACUUACGCUAAUACCGCAUACGACCUACGGGUGAAAGCAGGGGAUCUUCGGACCUUGCGCGAUUGAAUGAGCCGAUGUCGGAUUAGCUAGUUGGCGGGGUAAAGGCCCACCAAGGCGACGAUCCGUAGCUGGUCUGAGAGGAUGAUCAGCCACACUGGAACUUAGACACGGUCCAGACUCCUACGGGAGGCAGCAGUGGGGAAUAUUGGACAAUGGGCGCAAGCCUGAUCCAGCCAUACCGCGUGGGUGAAGAAGGCCUUCGGGUUGUAAAGCCCUUUUGUUGGGAAAGAAAAGCAGCAGGUUAAUACCCCGCUGUUCUGACGGUACCCAAAGAAUAAGCACCGGCUAACUUCGUG